rnacentral:misc_RNA from 1 species
UUUUUUUGUUUUAAAUUUCUUUACAUACUUUGACUAAUGUUUAAAAUGAAGCCGCAAGGUUCUCGUCAUAAGCCCGAAGGCCUAAUCAUAAUUACCUCGCCAUCAAGUGCACAGUGUUAGAAGUGGAGGUCAGGCUCUACAAGUAGACGCCCUAUAAUUCACUAAUGAUCCUUCCGCAGGUUCACCUACGGAAA